UACGUAGGGUGCAAGCGUUGUCCGGAAUUAUUGGGCGUAAAGAGCUCGUAGGCGGCUUGUCGCGUCGGCUGUGAAAACCCGCGGCUCAACUGUGGGCGGGCAGCUGAUACGGGCAGGCUGGAGUUCGGUAGGGGAGACUGGAAUUCCUGGUGUAGCGGUGAAAUGCGUAGAUAUCAGGAGGAACACCUGCGGUGUAGACGGCUUACUGGACCAUAACUGACGCUGAGGCACGAAAGCGUGGGUAGCAAACAGG
rnacentral:rRNA from 1 species